rnacentral:sRNA from 1 species
UGGCCUCGGCCAUCUUUGCUCCCACCUCCUACAUUGCAUCCCUUUCAAGUCGGCCUUGGCCCUGGGCCUCACGCAGGCCCUCUCCACCCUCUCUCGUCUCCCCAGGGACCCCCACAGAAGAGACGUGGCCCGGCGUGACCGCCUUCUCCGAGUUCCGCACCUACAGCUUCCCCCGCUACCUUCCGCAGCCGCUCAUCAGCCACGCGCCCAGGUUGGAUACGGAUGGCAUCCAACUCCUGAGCAGCCUGCUCCUGCUGCCUCCAUCUUCUCCCUGAAGGAGAUCCAGCUCCAGAAGGACCCAGGCUACCGAGGCUUGGCCUUCCAGCAGCCAGGACGAGGCAAGAACAGGCGGCAGAGCAUCUUCUGAGCUGCGCCCACCUUGCUGUGGCCAAGGGACGAGAGAUCACGUGGAGCACAAAUUCGGGUAGGAUGGAGCCUGUGUGGCCCUCGGAGGACUGAAGAACGAGGGCUGACAGCCAGCCCGGAAGACCGCUUGGCAGCCCUGCUGGCCAUGGCUGUUUCUUCUUUGUGCUUCCCGCGU